rnacentral:rRNA from 1 species
CUAUGGCUCAGGAUGAACGCUAGCUACAGGCUUAACACAUGCAAGUCGAGGGGCAGCAUAAGUAGCUUGCUAACUAGAUGGCGACCGGCGCACGGGUGAGUAACGCGUACCCAACCUUCCCCUUACUCAGGGAUAGCCCGGUGAAAACCGGAUUAACACCUGAUAGUUUCACUAGAUGGCAUCUGACGGUGAAUAAAGCUUUACGGUAAGGGAUGGGGAUGCGUCUGAUUAGCUUGUUGGCGGGUAACGGCCCACCAAGGCGACGAUCAGUAGGGGUUCUGAGAGGAAGGUCCCCCACAUUGGAACUGAGACACGGUCCAAACUCCUACGGGAGGCAGCAGUGAGGAAUAUUGGUCAAUGGGCGAGAGCCUGAACCAGCCAAGUAGCCGUGCAGGAUGACGGCCCUAUGGGUUGUAAACUGCUUUUGUACGGGAAUAAAGUGACCUACGUGUGGGUUUUUGCAUGUACCGUAAGAAUAAGGACCGGCUAAUUCCGUGCCAGCCGCUGC